GCCUAGUUAGCUUAGUUGGUAGUGCGUCUGCCUUGUAAGCGCUAGGCCGCGGCUUCGAUUCCCGCCCGGGGCG
rnacentral:tRNA from 1 species